rnacentral:misc_RNA from 1 species
AGGAGGUAAAAAUGAA